rnacentral:rRNA from 1 species
CGGCACGGGCCGCGUGCCCUAUAAUGCAAGUCGAACGAACUCUGGUAUUGAUUGGUGCUUGCAUCAUGAUUUACAUUUGAGUGAGUGGCGAACUGGUGAGUAACACGUGGGAAACCUGCCCAGAAGCGGGGGAUAACACCUGGAAACAGAUGCUAAUACCGCAUAACAACUUGGACCGCAUGGUCCGAGUUUGAAAGAUGGCUUCGGCUAUCACUUUUGGAUGGUCCCGCGGCGUAUUAGCUAGAUGGUGGGGUAACGGCUCACCAUGGCAAUGAUACGUAGCCGACCUGAGAGGGUAAUCGGCCACAUUGGGACUGAGACACGGCCCAAACUCCUACGGGAGGCAGCAGUAGGGAAUCUUCCACAAUGGACGAAAGUCUGAUGGAGCAACGCCGCGUGAGUGAAGAAGGGUUUCGGCUCGUAAAACUCUGUUGUUAAAGAAGAACAUAUCUGAGAGUAACUGUUCAGGUAUUGACGGUAUUUAACCAGAAAGCCACGGCUAACUACGUGCCAGCAGCCGCGGUAAUACGUAGGUGGCAAGCGUUGUCCGGAUUUAUUGGGCGUAAAGCGAGCGCAGGCGGUUUUUUAAGUCUGAUGUGAAAGCCUUCGGCUCAACCGAAGAAGUGCAUCGGAAACUGGGAAACUUGAGUGCAGAAGAGGACAGUGGAACUCCAUGUGUAGCGGUGAAAUGCGUAGAUAUAUGGAAGAACACCAGUGGCGAAGGCGGCUGUCUGGUCUGUAACUGACGCUGAGGCUCGAAAGUAUGGGUAGCAAACAGGAUUAGAUACCCUGGUAGUCCAUACCGUAAACGAUGAAUGCUAAGUGUUGGAGGGUUUCCGCCCUUCAGUGCUGCAGCUAACGCAUUAAGCAUUCCGCCUGGGGAGUACGGGCCGCAAGGCUGAAACUCAAAGGAAUUGACGGGGGCCCGCACAAGCGGUGGAGCAUGUGGUUUAAUUCGAAGCUACGCGAAGAACCUUACCAGGUCUUGACAUACUAUGCAAAUCUAAGAGAUUAGACGUUCCCUUCGGGGACAUGAUAAGGUGGUGCAUGGUUGUCGUCAGCUCGUGUCGUGAGAAUGUUGGUAGUUCCGCACGAGCGCACCCUUAUUAUCAGUGCCAGCAUAGUGGCACUCUGGUGAGAACUGCGGUGACAACGGAGAGUGGGGAUGACGUCAAUUCAUCUUGCC